CUAAACUAAAUUCAACUUCUUUGAUUUCAGAACUGAUGAGUUGAUUAAAAAAUAAUCUGUGAGAAAUUUGCCCAGUGCACUGUGCUGACCAUCACACACAGAUUGAACACCAUUAUUGACAGCGACACAAUAAUGGUUUUGGAUUCAGAGAGCCUGGAAGAAUAUGAUGAGCCGUAUGUUUUGGUGCAAAAUAGAGACAGACUAUUUCACAAGAUGGUGCAAGAGUUAGACAAGAGCGAGGCCACCGCCCUCACUGAAAGAGCAAGACAGGUGAGCUGCAGGAACUUGUAAUGAAAGUUUUUCU
rnacentral:lncRNA from 1 species